GACUCGGUGGCGGAGGGUUUCGCGUCCACUCUACUUAGAAGUCGUGGGUUGCAAGUUCCGUGGAAGGCGCUCGUUCGAUUCGGGCCCGAGUCG